rnacentral:rRNA from 1 species
UGGGGAAUAUUGCACAAUGGGCGCAAGCCUGAUGCAGCAACGCCGCGUGAACGAUGAAGGUCUUCGGAUCGUAAAGUUCUGUUGCAGGGGAAGAUAAUGACGGUACCCUGUGAGGAAGCCCCGGCUAACUACGUGCCAGCAGCCGCGGUAAUACGUAGGGGGCUAGCGUUAUCCGGAUUUACUGGGCGUAAAGGGUUCGCAGGCGGAAAUGCAAGUCAGGUGUAAAAGGCAGUAGCUUAACUACUGUAAGCAUUUGAAACUGCAUAUCUUGAGAAGAGUAGAGGUAAGUGGAAUUUUUAGUGUAGCGGUGAAAUGCGUAGAUAUUAAAAAGAAUACCGGUGGCGAAGGCGACUUACUGGGCUCAUUCUGACGCUGAGGAACGAAAGCGUGGGUAGCAAACAGG